AUUGAACGCUGGCGGCAGGCCUAACACAUGCAAGUCGAGCGGAUGAAGGGAGCUUGCUCCUGGAUUCAGCGGCGGACGGGUGAGUAAUGCCUAGGAAUCUGCCUGUGAGUGGGGGAUAACGUCCGGAAACGGGCGCUAAUACCGCAUACGUCCUGAGGUAGAAAGUGGGGGAUCUUCGGACCUCACGCUAUCAGAUGAGCCUAGGUCGGAUUAGCUAGUUGGUGGGGUAAAGGCCUACCAAGGCGACGAUCCGUAACUGGUCUGAGAGGAUGAUCAGUCACACUGGAACUGAGACACGGUCCAGACUCCUACGGGAGGCAGCAGUGGGGAAUAUUGGACAAUGGGCGAAAGCCUGAUCCAGCCAUGCCGCGUGUGUGAAGAAGGUCUUCGGAUUGUAAAGCACUUUAAGUUGGGAGGAAGGGCAGUAAGUUAAUACCUUGCUGUUUUGACGUUACCAACAGAAUAAGCACCGGCUAACUUCGUG
rnacentral:rRNA from 1 species